AAUGUGGUUAAUGAUGCUCAACUUUUUUCCCCAUCUUAUCGACUAUGGUGAAAUUAGUCUGAAUAAGCCAAUUUGUCUGAAACCACAUU
ensembl:snoRNA